GUUGUUGGUACAACCUGUAAUUCGUCCGUCCAUGGAACUAACUGUCUGUGUUUUAUCCUGUAUAUAUGUCACUGGUUUUAUCGCGUUAUGAAGCCUGAGGAGCGUAACGCGAUUAGUUCAGAUUCCUAAAAGAAAGAAAGGCCCCAAACUGCUGGAUGUGGUUUUAAAAGCUGAAACGAAGCUACACAGAGCAGGUGGGCCAGCAGUGAGUGUGAAGAGAGACUUUUCUAAACUCUGACAUGGACUCUGAGAACAGUCAGCACACACAGUCCUCUCCCUGUUCCCUCCACCAAGCUUUACCUUUAGACGUUCAGAAAGUGAUUGUUGGUGAAGAGGAGUGUAGCUCCAGUGUGGACCAGCAGGAGUGUAGCUCCAGUGUGGACCAGCAGGAGCCAGAG